UGUUAAUUAAUCAAACGAAUAAGUUCGUUAAAGACCACGGGAUAGUAUUGGACCUUAAGGCCCAAUGGGCUUUGAACGUCAAGUCCAUUGACUUAAAUUGUAUGACAACUUAAUGAAUAAUGAUUCACAAAGGCCCAAAUAGCAAAAUAAUACCCUAAGGCCGGCCAUUUAGAGGAAGGGUAGUGAACUUGCUUUAAUUACAAGUUUGCCACUUCAAUGAAUAAAGGUAUAAAUAUGACUUUAUAGCCAAAAUUCAUUUAGGGUUUCUUUUG
rnacentral:lncRNA from 1 species